GGGGCUUAGAUGAUAUCUAUCUAUAAAUAGGCUUAGAUUGAAGGGGAAAAAAGGAAGGCAGCGUUCUAAACUAAAUAAAUGGACUUGAAUUAUUGACCCGUGCCAAGCAGACAACACUUACAGAAUGUCGUAUCAGUACAAUCUACAGGAUGUCCAUGCGAUAGUCGCACAAUUGGUCAAAGCAGUGAUCGGAGACCUGCAAUUCGUGUUCAAGAAGAGCAACAUUAGAGAAGACAUUCCAUAAGUAAAC
rnacentral:misc_RNA from 1 species